AAGAAAACAUAUUCGUUUGCUCAUAAAAUCACCUGUGAAUAUUUUUUACCGAAAUUGGAGGCUUCGUUUAGCAAAAGAUCGCAUUGAGAGGCCAAGUCAUGCUGGAUAUACGUAGAAGAAGACAUCGUGUUCUAAUUGCUAUUUUCCGUCUAUAAAAUAAAUACAUAAGUAUAAAGUAAAUAAAAAACCAUAAUUUAAAGUUUUUAAACCAAGAUACAAUUUAGAUGAAUAGUUUGACUCAAACACCAUUAAUAUUAGUCUGCCGAUAGUAUUUUCCAUUCUAAUAUGUACGUGAUCAUAUUAUACAUGACAUUCAAAAACUCAUUAAUAAUUCAUGAGGAAAACACAAAGAAAAAUCAUAAACGUGUCGUAUUUUUAUAUGUGAUAGAGAUUUCCCUUGAUUUCCAUAAAUUUAACUUUGAUUUUCUCGACUUACGCAAUGUAUUUUUUGAACAUUUCUUCGCCAAUGAACUUACUAGAUCGAUCGUUUCUGAAGCAAUUUAAAACAUUCGCAGUGCGUGCUUUUAUCAGACCUAAAGAUACUCGGCUUCGCCUCGUAUCUUUAUAUCUGAUAAAACACUGCUGCUCAUGUUUUGAAUAUAGUACAUAAUUUACUUAACAAUCAGUGGCAUAUAGCGAAGCAAAUUACCUCCAGAACUGUUCUUGCCAAAUGCCGAAUCGGGACUAAAAAAAUGGGAUUGGAGCUGCAAUGUCUGAAGUAAUGUUCCUAACAACCAUUAAUAAUUCAUGAGAAAAACACAAAGAGAAAUCAUAAGCGUGUCGUAUCUUUGUACUAUUUAGAGAUUUUCCUUGAUAUACAUAAACUUUAACUUUGAUUUUCUCGACUUGCACAACGUAUUUUUUAUAAAUUACUUCGCCAAUGACUCGGCUUCACCUCGUAUUUUAAUAUUUUAUAUCUGAUGAAACACUACUGCUCAUGUUUUGAAUAGUACAUAAAACAUGAAAGGUUUUGUAGAUGAAAUUAUCGAGUGGAAAUUUAUAUACAUUUAUUAGACCUAACCAGGAACAGUUGCGAAAAAUGCAACUAUAGGUCCCUGACAGGAAUUGAACCUGCGGCCCUGCGAUUCCGGUGCAGUGCUCUAACCAACUGAGCUACAGAGGACAGUUGUAACCAUAAGUUCAUGUAUAUGUACUACGGUACUGUCAUGUUAAGGUAUGGGUCAAGUAUCAAGAUUUUGUUGGAAUCUCACUCGAUUGAAUAAUAAUAUAGUUGGAGAAUUAGCCAUUCCGAAGUUGAUG